CUAAUAUUUUGCGGAGAAAAUCUAAACUAACCUGCUUUUCUCACUCAGCUCCGCCAUUUCUUCGUGGCAUUCAAAGUGAAAUCACAGGGAGGGAGUAUGGAUGAAAAAGCCUGUCCAGGUGAUGUUGACCAUGGCCCAUGACUGCAUCUCUAGUCCUGACCGCACAGUCUUCGAAAUCCUGGGGCUUCAAGUUCACCUCUCAAUGCUCUCAGUUGAAGCUCCAAGGACUCUGAAGUAAACCAGGCAUGAACUCACAGGCACUCAUGCUUCACUACAGGCCUCGGAGGAGAGAGAUGUAUCCAUCCAGCCUUGGUGAUGAUCAUCUCCGUGCCAAUCUCGUGGAACCGUUUCCACAGGUCCGAUCCCUGCAGGUCUACACGGG